rnacentral:misc_RNA from 1 species
UUACUGAGUGAGGGCCCCUNNNGGGUCCAACCUCCCACCCGUGUUUAACGAACCUUUGUUGCUUCGGCGGGCCCGCCUCACGGCCGCCGGGGGGCUCCUGCCCCCGGGCCCGCGCCCGCCGAAGCCCCCCCUUGAACGCUGUCUGAAGUUUGCAGUCUGAGAAACUAGCUAAAUUAGUUAAAACUUUCAACAACGGAUCUCUUGGUUCCGGCAUCGAUGAAGAACGCAGCGAAAUGCGAUAACUAAUGUGAAUUGCAGAAUUCAGUGAAUCAUCGAGUCUUUGAACGCACAUUGCGCCCUCUGGUAUUCCGGAGGGCAUGCCUGUCCGAGCGUCAUUGCUGCCCUCAAGCACGGCUUGUGUGUUGGGCCCCCGUCCCCCCCUCUGCCGGGGGGACGGGCCCGAAAGGCAGCGGCGGCACCGCGUCCGGUCCUCGAGCGUAUGGGGCUUCGUCACCCGCUCUUGUAGGCCCGGCCGGCGCCAGCCGACCCCAACCCUAAAUUUUUUUCAGGUUGACCUCGGAUCAGGUAGGGAUACCCGCUGAACUUAAGCAUAUCAAUA